GACAAGCACCUAAAAGAUCCUACAUUUUGCUCUGCUUUCAAUUAUUUGCAUAGAUUACACAGAUUUAAUUAGGGCUCUGCGGCAGAAACUUCUUGUCUAUAUAUACAAUUUUAACAACUUUAAAGCAUCUAAAAGAUCCUACAUUUCCUACUCUGAUAUAAUCGCUUCCUCUGCAGCUUGUACAAGUUUCUUGCAGCUGUCAUUUUUCUUUCGUCUUCUUGAUUUUUAGCAUCCGACGAUGAAUACAAUAGUGCCUUGCACCAAUUCAUAACCAUCCAAGCGCUGCAGAGCAAUAUGAUCAUGUUAAGAAAUAUACAGAUUUGUUUUGCAGAAGUUGGGAGCAUUUGUCAAAAUUAUCUGUUUUCUCUUCUAAUAUCCAAAUCAACAGAUUCUUUUCUGAAAUGCCUAAAACAUCCAUUGAGGUCAUCCAGUUCAUAAAGAUCCUCCCUUUACUUGCACUCUCUUUAUUAUGGAUAAGAAGGAUAGGAACUUAACGACGUCUCAUAGGUUUAGUCGGCUGUUUUCAAGGAAGUACAGGAAGAAGUACAAGAGAAGUGAUCUAUGUAACUCAAAAGAACCAUCAGGGGAGUUAGAAGACAAAUAUAAAGAUGAAGAUGACUGCACAGAUGAUCUUCAUGAUACAUCAAGUGAGGAGGAAUCAUGCACUUCAAGCGAUAUGUUAAGAGUAUUUGUAGGGACUUGGAAUGUUGCAGGAAGAUCCCCUGUUGAUAGCUUAGCAGUAGAUUUGGAUGAGUGGUUGAAUCUUAAAGAAGCUGCUGACUUAUAUGUUCUUGGGUUUCAAGAGAUUGUACCCCUGAUCACAAAAACUGUAAUAGGGUCAGAAGACACAACUGAAGCCACAAACUGGAAUCUGCUCAUUGGUCAAACUCUCAAUGACAGACAUGGCAAUCCUUGGUUAACACCAAUGGUAAAUCCAAUGGCUAGUGAGAACUAUCAGUGUGAUUUCCAAGAAAGAGUGUUUGUAACCGAUGCUGAACCAGACCAAGUGAUAGGCCAGCCAAACAUUCAAGAUUCAAGCAGUGCUUACAAGAUCAUUGCAAGCAAGAAGAUGGUUGGUGUUUUCUUAAGUGUCUGGAUGAAGAGUGCCUUGGUCAAGAAGUACUGCAUAUCGAAUGUCAAAGUUAGUUCUGUGGCUUGUGGUAUCAUGGGCUAUCUGGGAAACAAAGGAUCAGUAGCGGUCAGCAUGACUAUAGAGGGAACAAAUUUGUGCUUUAUUGCUGCACAUUUAGCGUCUGGAGAGAAAAAAGGCGAUGAAGGGAGAAGGAAUUACCAAGUAUCAGAAAUUUUUAGACGAACCACUUUCUCUAGAAUGCCCCAUGAUGGUGAUAGACAUCAUCCUCUUACCAUCUUAGGACAUGAUCGGAUAUUUUGGUUUGGAGAUCUGAACUACAGACUAUACUUAGAAGACAACUUAGCGCGACAGCUGAUAGAAGAGAAAAACUGGACAGCAUUACAAGAGUUUGAUCAGCUUAAAAAGGAGCUGGAAGAAGGUGGGGUAUUUGAAGGGUGGAAAGAAGGGAACAUAGAAUUUGCACCAACAUACAAGUAUUCUACCUUUAACUGCAAUCGGUAUUCAGGAGGUUUUCCAGGUAAAGCAGGAGAGAAGCAAAGAACUCCAGCAUGGUGUGACAGGAUUUUAUGGUAUGGUGAAGGGGUGAAGCAAUUAUCAUACUUUCGCAGCGAGAGCAAAUUCUCUGAUCACAGACCAGUCUCUGCUCUUUUUUCUACACACAUCGAACUUCUUAAACUUGGUAGUCCAAGAUUGAUUUUAGUCCCCAGCAGUAGUAUUCCGCCAAUGAGCUAUUGUGAUCAUACUGGUGAAAUGCAGGCUGAUGUAAAAAGCCCACAGCCACAUUAAUAUCCAUGAUAGAAGGAUUGCCUACAUGACUAUUAGCAUACGAGAGAUGAUCCUGACAAGUGAUUGUUGGCAACCAUACCUUUGUCCGGAAGCAUUCAAUCAUUCUACUCCUCUGCCUCGACAUGGAUACUUUAGUUUUCAAAUUUAUGUAGACAAAAUGUCACAGUGAAAAUGGUCACUACAGAAAAAAGGGCUAAUUAUAAUCGGAUUAUGCAAUCAUCAAACAAAAUUUUACAGCAGGAGUUUAGAAGAAUCUCAACAACCCUCAACCGCAGUUUAAAAUAGAGCAUUCAACAUGAGUGCAACCCACAAUUUCAGGAUCAAAUCCUUCACAUCCAGCUUCAGUGUUACUUGUCAGGCCGCAAAACUCCACAAGAGGCUAAUGCUUUUGGGCAUUCGAACCCGAGUCUCUCGUGAACCUGAGCUGACCAAUUCUCUCAAAAUCUUAAUGUGGUUGAAAGUAGGCUAACCAGGAUCAUAUAUUAUUCUAAGAUGUUAGGAAGUAGGCUUACCAGGAUCAUAUAUUACUCUAAUAAGGGACCAAUUCUCCCAAAAAUUCAAGUUGUUACGCACGCAUCCAUAUUUCCAACUAAAUUUUAAGUAA